rnacentral:lncRNA from 1 species
UAUGUGCUUUCUUGAUUGAUGGUCUUUAUCAUUUGCAUAUGGAUGUGAGUGUUAAUAUUAAUGAGCAAACUGUGAAUGUCAUAGGAUCUAAGAGACUCAGAGAUAGGAUUAGUCAAAAAUAUCUAUGGCACCUUAGGCUAGACUAUAUAAGAGAGAACAGACUCAACAAACUAAAAAAAGAUGGUCUUCUUGGACCAUUGACUUUUGAGUCUUAUCUAAUUUAUUAGUCCUAUCUUCAAAAAAAAAUGGUUAAGCUACCCUUUGUGGGA